rnacentral:misc_RNA from 1 species
GAUGAAGAACGUAGCGAAAUGCGAUAAGUAGUGUGAAUUGCAGAAUUCAGUGAAUCAUCGAAUCUUUGAACGCACAUUGCGCCCUUUGGUAUUCCUUAGGGCAUGCCUGUUCGAGCGUCAUUUAAACCUUCAAGCUAAGCUUGGUGUUGGGUGACUGUCCGCUUCACGGCGGACUCGCCUCAAAAUUAUUGGCGGCCGGUACAUUGGCUUCGAGCGCAGCAGAAACGCGAACUCGGGCCCGUCGUAUUGGCUCCCAGAAGCUAUCUUCACAAUUUUGACCUCGGAUCAGGUAGGGAUACCCGCUGAGCUUAAGCAUAUCAAUAAGCGGAGGA